CCUACGGGAGGCAGCAGUGGGGAAUAUUGGACAAUGGGCGAAAGCCUGAUCCAGCCAUGCCGCGUGUGUGAAGAAGGCCUUCGGGUUGUAAAGCACUUUCAGUGGGGAAGAAAGCCUUGGGGCUAAUACCCUCGAGGAAGGACAUCACCCACAGAAGAAGCACCGGCUAACUCCGUGCCAGCAGCCGCGGUAAUACGGAGGGUGCGAGCGUUAAUCGGAAUUACUGGGCGUAAAGCGCGCGUAGGCGGUCUGAUAAGCCGGUUGUGAAAGCCCCGGGCUCAACCUGGGAACGGCAUCCGGAACUGUCAGGCUAGAGUGCAGGAGAGGAAGGUAGAAUUCCCGGUGUAGCGGUGAAAUGCGUAGAGAUCGGGAGGAAUACCAGUGGCGAAGGCGGCCUUCUGGACUGACACUGACGCUGAGGUGCGAAAGCGUGGGCAGCAAACAGGAUUAGAUACCCUGGUAGUC
rnacentral:rRNA from 1 species